rnacentral:tRNA from 1 species
GCUGGCGUGACCCAAUCGGUAGAGGUGACUGGCUCAAACCCAGUUUGGUGAAGGUUCGAAUCCUUCCGCCAGCACCA